rnacentral:rRNA from 1 species
GACGAACGCUGGCGGCAUGCCUAAUACAUGCAAGUCGAGCGAACAGAUGAAGUGCUUGCACUUCUGACGUUAGCGGCGAACGGGUGAGUAACACGUAAGGAAUCUACCUAUAAGCGGGGGAUAACAGUCGGAAACGACUGCUAAUACCGCAUAAUGCAGCGGCACCGCAAGGUGACAGUUGUUAAAGGAGUAAUCAGCUUGAGGAGGAGCUUGCGGCAGAUUAGCUAGUUGGUAGGGUAAUGGCUUACCAAGGCUACGAUCUGUAUCCGGUCUAAGAGGACGGUCGGACACACUGACACUGAAUAACGGGUCAGACUCCUACGGGAGGCAGCAGUCGGGAAUUUUGGGCAAUGGGCGAAAGCCUGACCCAGCAACGCCGCGUGAAGGAUGAAGUAUUUCGGUAUGUAAACUUCGAAAGAAUAGGAAGAAUAAAUGACGGUACUAUUUAUAAGCUCCGGCUAACUACGUGCCAGCCGCCGCCGUAA